UGCACUUCCUGUCUAAACCGGAAGUAGCGUUAUUUUGGUGAUUCCGUGGUCCGUGAGUGCUCAGCUGAGCUUAUAUUCCAUCCUUUCUACACACUAAAGCAACGUCUUUUCACAGUCAAGAAUGAAAUAUAGGACGAAGCAAACAUCAUGAAAGUCAUCUUCUUGUUGUGAGUUCUUUGGAGACUGCGUAGCUGCAGGGAUAGCUAGCACUGGAAGCUAGUGAGGCCUACACAAUGCUGGUCAGCGCCUUCAAGUCCAGGGCCAUGGUUCCUCAGCCAGAAAAACAGUGAACUGCUCCCUCCCAGUGGGGAUUGUGUUUUUGUCCCCAGUGAAGGAAGGCUAGUAUCUCUGGGUGUUCUGCAGAGUGAGGAUCAAAUGGACCGUGAGAUGGCAGAUUCUAACAAACUUCAGCAGCUGUCCACAAGAUGGCAGCAGAGCUCUUGUUUGUUGAAGAUCCAGAACGUGCUCCUUCAGCCAGAGUUGACUUCAUGUCUAUGUUUGAUCUAUCCAAAGUUUUUCAUGUUCUUUCAAAAUAAAAG